UUUAGUAUUUUUUUUUAAAUCUUUAACAUUGUCAAGGAUAUAUUAUUAUCACAAUAUUAAUCUCUUUCUUUUGGUAUUUUAACUCAAUUUGUAUAUAUUGCCCCUUUCAUGAGAUCUGAUCAGAGCCCUCCGAAGCCUAAGCCCGCCACUGCCGAUAAUAGAUAAUAAUGUUUUAUGCACUCAAAAUAAUCCAAACGUCAUUGCUACGUGAAAAAUCACGUAGAUCAUUCCAAAUUCAUUUUGCCUCAUCUUCACCUGACCAAGGUAAUUAUAACUAGAGCAUAUAUAAUCACCAAAUGGAGUCCGGAUGAUUGUUACCGAAGCUACCCGUCGCACUUACGUGAAAAUCACGUAGGCAAUUAAAUUCAUUUUGACACCGCGUUCAUUCUCUGUUUUGACAUCGCGUGCAUUCUCAGUUCAAUUUUUAAAAUGGUGGCCGCUUGUUUUUCCAGGAGUUGCUGGACUUUAAAACAACCUUUGGAUUGAUUUCAUGCUUACGAAACAUAGAACAGCAAAUCCGAACAAAUUUGUGUAUGUUCUAAUGCAGUUGGACCAUGGAUGCCACCGUGUCGGUCAGUGGGUAUUGGACAUUGAUUCACACCAUCAAUUGAAAACAAUGUUAAUACAUUGUAUUCGCAAUAACGAUUGAAUGCAAUAAAUAAUUGAAUUCUU